rnacentral:rRNA from 1 species
GGGUGAGUAACACGUGGAUAACCUACCUAUAAGACUGGGAUAACUUCGGGAAACCGGAGCUAAUACCGGAUAAUAUUUUGAACCGCAUGGUUCAAAAGUGAAAGACGGUCUUGCUGUCACUUAUAGAUGGAUUCGCGCUGCAUUAGCUAGUUGGUAAGGUAACGGCUUACCAAGGCAACGAUGCAUAGCCGACCUGAGAGGGUGAUCGGCCACACUGGAACUGAGACACGGUCCAG